CCGUGCGUUAGUUGGUAGAGUGUCGGUUCACACUGACAGCGGUGGUUUUGAUUUUCGGUGCCCCGGAGCUAGUCAAUCACAGCACAGAGUCCGCGUCCAGCAAAACAAAACGAGCGGUCCAGGCGCACGGAGGAAAGAGACACCGGACCAAAAACUGACGAAAAAUACCUGAGCUACACACCUCCGUCCAUCCUUUGCCCACCGUCUUGACGCACGUAAAACCCUAAAUUGGCCAUUAUGAGCGAUUUGAUGAGCCUUUCCGACCAACCGCAAGCAGUCACCCAGCCCUCGCUGGCGCUGGUUUGCCAAAAACCCCGAGACGAAC